rnacentral:lncRNA from 1 species
AACAAGUAGCUGUGGGAACGUGGUGGCGCAGACCCUUCACCCAGGGAGCCCUGUGGGCUAGAAACACCAGACAGCCAGGAUGUGGCGAGAGACUGCCCAACACACUGUCUGUGUGAGGCAGAGGAAGGAAGGAGAUGAAGGAAGAAACAGGUAGGUAGGAGGGCGAGAUCCCAAGCAAGUCAGGACAACUCCCACGCCUUGCCCAGGAGCCUUAAGAAGCCCAGGCACCUGCUGAGUGAAAGAGGAUAUAUUUAUUGGCUGAGCAAGAAGGGAAGGUACAGUUGGUAAUGGCUGCUUCUAGAAGCCACCAGUCUC